rnacentral:rRNA from 1 species
AGAGUUUGAUCCUGGCUCAGGAUGAACGCUGGCGGCGUGCUUAACACAUGCAAGUCGAACGGACUCAAUAUUGAAACCUAGUGAUUUAUGAGUUAGUGGCGGACGGGUGAGUAACGCGUGGAAAACCUGCCGUAUACCGGGGGAUACCACCUGGAAACAGGUGCUAAUACCGCAUAAGCGCACGGGAGCGCAUGCUCCUGUGUGAAAAACUCCGGUGGUAUGGGAUGGACCCGCGUCUGAUUAGCCAGUUGGCAGGGUAACGGCCUACCAAAGCGACGAUCAGUAGCCGGCCUGAGAGGGUGGACGGCCACAUUGGGACUGAGACACGGCCCAAACUCCUACGGGAGGCAGCAGUGGGGAAUAUUGCACAAUGGGGGAAACCCUGAUGCAGCGACGCCGCGUGAGUGAAGAAGUAUUUCGGUAUGUAAAGCUCUAUCAGCAGGAACGAGACAAGACGGUACCUGACUAAGAAGCCCCGGCUAACUACGUGCCAGCAGCCGCGGUAAUACGUAGGGGGCAAGCGUUAUCCGGAAUCACUGGGUGUAAAGGGAGCGUAGACGGCUGAGCAAGCCUGAAGUGAAAGGCGGGGGCCCAACCCCCGGACUGCUUUGGGAACUGUACGGCUGGAGUGCAGGAGAGGUAAGUGGAAUUCCUAGUGUAGCGGUGAAAUGCGUAGAUAUUAGGAGGAACACCAGUGGCGAAGGCGGCUUACUGGACUGUAACUGACGUUGAGGCUCGAAAGCGUGGGGAGCAAACAGAAGUAGAUACCCUGGUAGUCCACGCCGUAAACGAUCCUUUAAAGGUGUCGGGGGGCAGAGGCCCUUCGGUGCCCGCAGCAAACGCAAUAAGUAAUCCACCUGGGGAGUACGUCCGCAAGGAUGAAACUCAAAGGAAUUGACGGGGACCCGCACAAGCGGUGGAGCAUGUGGUUUAAUUCGAAGCAACGCGAAGAACCUUACCCGGCCUUGACAUCCCCCUGACAGUGUAUGUAAUGUACAUUCCCUUCGGGGCAGGGGAGACAGGUGGUGCAUGGUUGUCGUCAGCUCGUGUCGUGAGAUGUUGGGUUAAGUCCCGCAACGAGCGCAACCCUUACCCACAGUAGCCAGCACAAAAGGUGGGCACUCUGUGGGGACUGCCGGGGACAACCCGGAGGAAGGUGGGGAUGACGUCAAAUCAUCAUGCCCCUUAUGGCCGGGGCUACACACGUGCUACAAUGGCGUAAACAAAGGGAAGCGAGAGAGUGAUCUUAAGCGAAACUCAAAAAUAACGUCCCAGUUCGGAUUGCAGUCUGCAACUCGAUUGCAUGAAGCUGGAAUCGCUAGUAAUCGCGGAUCAGAAUGCCGCGGUGAAUACGUUCCCGGGUCUUGCACACACCGCCCGUCA